rnacentral:lncRNA from 1 species
CUGACGAUCAUAGGUUCAGUGAUCACACGGACGGGAAUUUGCUCGAUGAAGGGAUGAGCUAUUUGGCUAAGGUAAAUAAUCAUUCCUUUAUUUUUCUGUCUUUCUGUCCUUAAUUGUAUAUCUGGAUACUGGCUUGAGUACUGUUCCGAACAUAUGCAGGUUAAUGCUGUCUUUGGACGUUUGCGUCCAAGACACAUAAAUGGGGAAGCCGAGGAAGAUUUCAUGCGACAAGAGAUCAAUAUGCUGAGAUCGACCUUGGCUCGAGAAAGGGCCGAUCGAGAAGACUCUCUUUAAGUCAUCGAUGGCCUCCAACGAGACUUGGAUAGAGCUAAGAUGGAUUUGAGGACGUCUGACGACGAAGUAAGGGCCACAAGAGAUAGGUUGGCCGCCUCUGAAGCUAGCCAACAAACUUUAACCGAUCUGAACGCCGGCUUAGUCGAAGAAAACCUGUUGCUGAGGGCAAAAAAUGAGGAGUUUUCUUCGGCCAACCGAAGCCUGGCUAUUCAACUUGGCGAGGCUCAAUCAAAGGCCCAGGAUGAAGGACGGAGACACAAGAACAAACGCCACAAGCUUCGUCUUAAAAUAAAGGAUCUUGAGGGAAGGGGUCCUCUUCUGA